rnacentral:lncRNA from 1 species
AUUAGCCUCGCCCACACGUAGCUGCAGGCUCUCCCUUGCUUCACCCAGCUUCUCAACUUGAUCCCGGAUUUCCGCCAUGUUGCAAUUGUAAUGAAAGAGAUAACCUAGCUGAUGUCCAACUGGAGCAACCAAGUAUUCAGCAACUUUUGCUGCAAUGGAAAUAACAAUCUCCACCAUUUUCUACUUUUGAUUUUUUCUUUUCCCUGGGUAAAUUGGUGAGAAUUAAGCUAAAGCAGAUAACAGAAAAAGAAAUAAUAAGGACAGAGCGCUAUUGGAUUGAAUGUGAGAAAUGAAAAACAAGGAGAUGAAAGGUUUUAGCUAUCAAAGGAGAAGAGUUUUGCUCCAAGAGGAGAGACAAGCACCAGGAAUGCGAAAGGACCGAAAGUAGGAAUGGACAACAAACAAGGACAAAAGGGCUCCGGAAUCAAAAGAGAGAUAACCCAGCUGACGUCCAAUUGGAUCUACCAAGUAUUUAGUUGAGUUUUCUUUUUCAGGUUAUGGCGAAAUAGCUAGAUGAGGAAAGCAAACUGGAGAGAGGAUAAUGAUGUACUUGGAUUGAACGAGAGAAACGAAAUUAAUGAAGGAAAUGAAGGCACCAGUGUAUUUGUUAAUCAAAGAAGGAAAGAUGGUAAUAGGAUGGAUAGUGUUGAGGAGUGAGAACGAGCAUGAUGGCAAGCGUAGAGGGCAGUAGUAAUGGAUGGUGAGUAGGAAAUGAAAGGCAGAAGCAAAUGAAAGCAGCAAUAAGAAGAAACUAAAAGAAGAAAGCGCAAGAAAUGAAAGGAGAAGAGUAUUCUGUUCCAAGUAGAGGGGUGGUGAGUAGGAAAAUGAAAAGAAGAAACAGUGGUGAAAUUGAAAACGAGUGAAGUUAGGAAUGGAUGAUAAAGAGGCAAAUGGGUCGAGAGUGAAGUGAUGGAGAAAGCUCAAGGAAUGCUUGUGAUUUGAUUCAGUGUGAGAAAACGAGCACAAGGAAAGCUAAUGUUUUGAAAGCAAAAAAGGCAGAGCAAGCAGGUCCCUGAUGUAAGGUUGGAUGUGAAGACUGAAAACGAGAUUAGAGUGGUAGGUACGAGAGAGAGCAGCAGCAACAGGGUUCCAAGCAGAGAGAAAUGAGAAUACACCACCAAAAUUCAUUAAUGAUUUGAGUGUAUUUAGGCAUUUUUAACAAAAACAAGUAUUUUGCAGCCUUGGAUUCCAGUGGCCAUUAUUCACCUGCAUCUCACUCCCACAACUCAUUCUAGACUCAGUGUCACCCGUCUGAACUAAUAUUUUUUAAAGCGUAGUAAAUUAUAGGUAUUGAAGACGACAAGAGGGAAAUAUUAUUAGAACCUUUUUAAAAACCUUUUUAUAUUUUUAAAAAAUCAUCUAAAUUAUCUCUCAUCUUACUCCCCUUCCUCCUUUAUUCCCAUUUA